rnacentral:rRNA from 1 species
GAGUUUGAUCCUGGCUCAGGACGAACGCUGGCGGCGUGCCUAACACAUGCAAGUCGAACGGAGAAUCAGCAAUGGUUCUUAGUGGCGAACGGGUGAGUAACGCGUAGACAACCUGCCUUCUAGAUGGGGACAACGUUCCGAAAGGGACGCUAAUACCGAAUGUUGUAUUGAAUCUGCAUGGGUUUGAUACUAAAGGUGGCCUCUGAAUAUGCUACCACUAGAAGAUGGGUCUGCGUCUGAUUAGCUAGUUGGUGAGGUAAUGGCUCACCAAGGCGAUGAUCAGUAGCCGGUCUGAGAGGAUGAACGGCCACACUGGGACUGAGACACGGCCCAGACUCCUACGGGAGGCAGCAGUGGGGAAUCUUCCGCAAUGGACGAAAGUCUGACGGAGCAACGCCGCGUGAGUGAAGAAGGUUUUAGGAUCGUAAAGCUCUGUCUUCAAGGACGAAUGUGCAUGUUGUGAAUAAUGACAUGUAAUGACGGUACUUGAGGAGGAAGCCACGGCUAACUACGUGCCAGCAGCCGCGGUAAUACGUAGGUGGCAAGCGUUGUCCGGAAUUAUUGGGCGUAAAGCGCGCGCAGGCGGGAAUGUAAGUCUGUCUUAAAAGUUCGGGGCUCAACCCCGUGAUGGGAUGGAAACUACAUUUCUUGAGUGCAGGAGAGGACAGUGGAAUUCCCAGUGUAGCGGUGAAAUGCGUAGAUAUUGGGAGGAACACCAGUGGCGAAGGCGACUGUCUGGACUGUGUCUGACGCUGAGGCGCGAAAGCCAGGGGAGUGAACGGGAUUAGAUACCCCGGUAAUCCUGGCCGUAAACGAUGGGUACUAGGUGUAGGAGGUAUCGANCCCUUCUGUGCCGGAGUUAACGCAAUAAGUACCCCGCCUGGGGAGUACGGCCGCAAGGUUGAAA